rnacentral:lncRNA from 1 species
UUGUGAUAAAGAGAUAAAACCUAAGUUGAGAUUUGUAAUCAGCGAAUCAGGCAAGUAUCCUACCUUUGCAUUUUCUUUAUGCAAUGGACAUGAGUAAGAAGUUUCAGAAUUAUUCUAUUCCUGUACAGAUUAUGUACGCUUUGAUUAUCAACAUGUUAGCUCAGAUAUAUAUUCUGUUAAGUUGAUUUCUAAAUGGUUAUACAAGUGUCCCCACUUGGAUAAUCAUGGCAUUUAUUCACAUGUUGAUAUACCUUUGUCAAUUACCCGUAUACAUAUAUGUUGAAUUACAUAUUAUUGUUGAGCAAGAUUAAAAACCUUCGGGUUUGGAACCAGGCAUGUAUGAACAUCCCGAUAAUGGGAAAAUUUUUAUGCGCUUCGGCGGACAAAGGGUGAGCGAUGAAUUUCGUUCAAGUUAUGUAGUAUUGAUCAAUACAGGGUACAACGGGGCUGAUCACCCUCCGUGCCCGUAAGUUAUGACGGUUUGCGGAUGAAUUUCUGCUAAACCUUUUCGAAAAUGAAAAACCAUGUUCAUAGUAUGUUUCUUAAACCCUAUUCAUGGGUGGAGCCUAAUUUCAAGAAAUUGAAAGAGAAUUGUUAUGUAAAUUUUUAUCAGUACAGAUUACUUCACAACUUUCGAUUCGUUGUAGAAGUGUUAUGGAAAGAGAAUACUUAUAUUCUUUCAGCUUAUAUAUAUAAUUGCUAUUACUUGCUGGGCACUCAAAUGCUCAUCCUUGCUUAAACUAAAUGUUUUCAGUUACGUACGAUCGACCUGAAGGCUCAGGCACGAACAAGGGAAAAGAAAAGCUGUUCGAAUGAGAUUUAGUAUGAGUUAAUGGUUAUAGUUAGUAAGACAAUGGAAUCUAUUGUCAGGUAUUGUAAGGAAUGUAUUUGAAGGUCACGUACCUGGGGAAGUAAACUUUGAUGUAUGUAAAUUAAGUUCGAAUGUAUUAUUAUUUAGUAUUAUUCAGCUUAAAGAAAUGGUAUCGUGGAGAACCAAGUUCGGGUUGCAAGUACCCGGAUUUGGGGUCUCCACAAGUACAGUAGAAUACGGAUAUCAUACAUUACUUGUGCCCCUUAACUUGUUGUUGAUAUAAAUUUGGUUAUUUUUUUCGUAAUUAGGCAACAUGUUGAACCAUAAGUAGGGUGAGAAACCUAGUUACGAAUUAUAUUGCUACUAAUUAUAAGUAUGCCUCAUUUACUAACCUUUUAUUUUGUGACUAUUGUUUGCAGUUGGGUGGAUGUAUCUGAAUUUUUGAUAGAGCCCUGUACGGCGAGGAUUAUCAUAAUUGGCUUCUUUUGUUGGUGAAUGAAAUUUAGAAGAGAGGAAUAUGAAGACGUCAAAUUUUACUUCUCCAAAACUUUCCUCCUAUUCAUUCGCAUAGUUUUUGGUUUAUAGAUUGCAUUUGAGUGUAUGUUAGUAAUGACAAUAUCCUCCUUUAACUGUAUGUUAGUAAUGACAAUAUCUCCUCCUUUGUUCUUGUUGUAUGCGACAUUUUUGUUCAAAUAACAUUUAAGACAUCACUGAUCGCAUAGAUAGACAUAGCGUUGGAAGUAAAAUCCACUUCGUGAGCACAAAUUACUAAGUGCACAAGCAAUAUUCCCUCAGUCCCAAAUUGAGAGCCUUUGUUUCUUUGUUUGUGUAUCUCAAAUUGAGAAUAUUUUUUCUUCUAAAAAUGGAUUAAACUUGAUCAAUU